CCCUUAGAUGUCCUGGGCCGCACGCGCGUUACACUGAUGCAUUCAACGAGCUUAUAACCUUGGCCGAGAGGCCUGGGCAAUCUUGUUAACGUGCAUCGUGAUAGGGAUAGAUUAUUGAAAUUAUUAAUCUUGAACGAGGAAUUCCUAGUAAACGCAGAUCAUCAAUCUGCAUUGAUUACGUCCCUGCCCUUUGUACACACCGCCCGUCGCACCUACCGAUUGGAUGGUCCGGUGAAGCCUCGGGAUUGUGGUUCUUGCCGCUUUAUUGUGGCGUGACCGCGAGAACUUGUCUAAAUCUUAUCAUCUAGAGGAAGGUGAAGUCGUAACA
rnacentral:rRNA from 1 species